rnacentral:rRNA from 1 species
UGUUUGAUGUUCUAACGUUGACCCGUAAUCCGGGUUGCGGACAGUGUCUGGUGGGUAGUUUGACUGGGGCGGUCUCCUCCUAAAGAGUAACGGAGGAGCACGAAGGUUGGCUAAUCCUGGUCGGACAUCAGGAGGUUAGUGCAAUGGCAUAAGCCAGCUUGACUGCGAGCGUGACGGCGCGAGCAGGUGCGAAAGCAGGUCAUAGUGAUCCGGUGGUUCUGAAUGGAAGGGCCAUCGCUCAACGGAUAAAAGGUACUCCGGGGAUAACAGGCUGAUACCGCCCAAGAGUUCAUAUCGACGGCGGUGUUUGGCACCUCGAUGUCGGCUCAUCACAUCCUGGGGCUGAAGUAGGUCCCAAGGGUAUGGCUGUUCGCCAUUUAAAGUGGUACGCGAGCUGGGUUUAGAACGUCGUGAGACAGUU